rnacentral:rRNA from 1 species
UAAGACAGCUGAAUGAUAGUCGGGCUGAAGACUCUACUUGACUAGCUGAGAGGAGGUGCAUGGCCGUCGUCAGUUCGUACUGUGAAGCAUCCUGUUAAGUCAGGCAACGAGCGAGACCCACGCCAACAGUUGCCAGCUCGUCCUCCGGGAUGGAGGGGACACUGUUGGGACCGCUCUGCUAAAGAGAGGAAGGAAUGGGCAACGGUAGGUCAGCAUGCCCCGAAUUAUCUGGGCUACACGCGGGCUACAAUGGGUGGGACAAUGGGUAUCGACACCGAAAGGUGAAGGCAAUCUCCUAAACCCAUCCUUAGUUCGGAUUGUGGGCUGCAACUCGCCCACAUGAAGCUGGAAUCUGUAGUAAUCGUGUCUCAAAAUGGCACGGUGAAUACGUCCCUGCUCCUU